GGCCGCUCCGGUGUCCUAGUGGUUAGAGAGAUCGCUUCGGAUGCGGUAGGUCACGGGUGGGGGGUCGAACCUCGGCUGAGUCA